UACGGAGGGUGCAAGCGUUAUCCGGAUUCACUGGGUUAAGGGUGCGUAGGUGGGCAGGUAAGUCAGUGGUGAAAUCUCCGAGCUUAACUCGGAACUGCCGUUGAUACUAUUUGUCUUGAAUAUUGUGGAGGUAAGCGGAAUAUGUCAUGUAGCGGUGAAAUGCUUAGAUAUGACAUAGAACACCAAUUGCGAAGGCAGCUUACUACACAACGAUUGACGCUGAGGCACGAAAGCGUGGGGAUCAAAACAGG
rnacentral:rRNA from 1 species